CCUACGGGAGGCUGCAGUAGGGAAUAUUGCGCAAUGGACGGAAGUCUGACGCAGCGACGCCGCGUGAGCGAUGAAGGUCUUCGGAUCGUAAAGCUCUGUCCUUGGGGAAGAAGGCGAAAGCUUGACGGUACCCAAGAAGAAAGCCCCGGCUAACUACGUGCCAGCAGCCGCGGUAAGACGUAGGGGGCAAGCGUUACCCGGAAUUACUGGGCGUAAAGGGGGCGUAGGCGGUAAAAGAAGUCAUCUGUGAAAACCUAUUGCUCAACGAUAGGCUAGCGGAUGAAACUGAAUUACUUGAGGGCACCAGAGGUAGACGGAAUUACCCGAGUAGGGGUGAAAUCCGCAGAUACGGGUAGGAACGCCGGUGGAGAAGUCGGUCUACUGGGGUGCACCAGACGCUGAGGCCCGAAAGCUAGGGGAGCAAACCGGAUUAGAUACCCUUGUAGUC
rnacentral:rRNA from 1 species